AUGCUUACUAAUCUCCUAUCAAAUUGGAAUUGGGAGGGAACCAGAUUAAGUUAUGGCAGUGCAGCCAAGACAGACUAUCCCAAUGAAGAAAUGAUUGAGAAAUUUUUAAUGGACGGAUGUGACGCGGGACUUUCAACUCAACCACAAAAUGAAGAAGGAAGACCAACUCUCUUAGAGCUGCUCUUAAUCCAAGAGAUAAGUUGA